AUGUUCCUGUACAAUUUACCUACGAAGGUCGCUAAUGUCCUCUCUGGCUGCUAUGAGUAUGACUUUCGGGAUCACUCCUUGAUGUUAGAUAUCUUACAGUCAUUUGAAAGGUUUCUCUACAUUAGCUUUGUGUAUUCAAUUUUUUUGUUCCUGACAAGAAGUGCAUUGCACAUGCACACUUAUAUGAAUCAAGCCUUACAUGAUUUGCUCUUUUACUGA
rnacentral:rRNA from 1 species